GUAUGAAAACCCUUGUUUGAUUGGGUUGAGAAUAAUUAUAUGUGUUGAAAAGGUUCAAGUUUGGGGUUGAAUGGGGAAAGUGAAAGGUAAAAGAAAAGAAAAGCAUUGAGUUCAAAAGAAUGAAAAAGAAAAAUGCAUGUGAGAAGAAAAGAAAAGAAGAAAAGAGAAAAAUCAUGUGAAGUGAACUCAAUGUAAAAGGAAAAAGGGAAAAAGUUGGGAAUAAGUGAGAUUGGUUAAAAAAGAGAGUGUGCUUGAACUUUGAAUGAUGAUUAAAACUCUCUUAACUCAAGGAUUUUGUAUUCCAGAAAAACCAAUUUUCUUGAUUGCCCAGCCACAAUACAAGCCUUGGAAAAAGUCCUUGUGAUG
rnacentral:lncRNA from 1 species